ensembl:lncRNA
UUUUAAGUAUAUCUCGAUCAAAAGAUAGAGUACAAGUAAAGGCCAAAUAUAAUUGGACUUUUCUCUCAGUAUAAGUCAAGUACACUUAAGUGUAAUUAAUUGUAUUUCUACGAAGUACAUAAAGUAUGUUUUUGAGAAUUAUAAAAUUUAGACUUAAAGUAUACUUUCUUAUUGUUUGUUUAAAAUAAGUAUACUAAUAGAAAACUUGAAUUAAAUUCUUUUUCGUAAGGGACAUACUGUAAAUCCUAAACAAAAACAACAAUUGCAAAUGGAGUGCAACAUAUUCUUAUUUUUUAUUGAGCUUUCAAAAAAUACAUAAGUACUAUUGUCAACUAAAUGAUGUUCCAAGUAAGAACGCCAGAAUAGAGAGCUAAGUAAAAACAUUAUUUGAAUGGUAAAAUCAUUACAGUUACUUCACUAAACUGAUUAAGUGUGUGUGUCUGUGUGUCUCUGUCUCUGUGUGUGUGUGUGUGUGUGUGUGUGUGUGUGUGUGUGUGUGUGUGUGGGAAGGCAGCAGAGGUCAAAGUGCACUGGCUACCUUGCUCUUCCUGUGGCAGAGUCUGGGAGGACACCUGGGAGCCGGCCAGCAAAUUCG